rnacentral:hammerhead_ribozyme from 1 species
AUCCAACUGACAAGUCCCGAAUGGGACGAAACGAGUGUUCUGGAU